CAACACACUAACUUGGCAGUCAUUGUUCAAUCUGAUUCUUCGGAGGCACUGUCGGUUUUGACUGGAGACAACCUUUCCCGGUGAACAUAUGGUCAUUUAGUUGCUGAGAUCAAGCAUCUUAUGGUAGAGAAGGAGUUUAUUCCACUGAAGAUUAAACGUGAGCAAAAUAGGGUAGCAGAUCGGUUAACUUUCUAUAGUCGUACGGAGAGUACUACUGCUGUGUGACUAAAUAGAGGUCCGCCCUGUAUAGAGAAACUUUUGCCUCUCAACUGUAACUCUAUUCAUUUGGAAUAA
rnacentral:rRNA from 1 species